rnacentral:rRNA from 1 species
CACGUAGGGUGCGAGCGUUGUCCGGAAUUAUUGGGCGUAAAGAGCUCGUAGGCGGUGUGUCGCGUCGGCCGUGAAAACCUGCAGCUUAACUGUGGGCUUGCGGUCGAUACGGGCAUCACUGGAGUUCGGCAGGGGAGACUGGAAUCCUGGUGUAGCGGUGAAAUGCGUCGAUAUCAGGAGGAACACCGAGUCGAAGGCGG